CCUACGGGUGGCAGCAGUGGGGAAUAUUGCACAAUGGGGGAAACCCUGAUGCAGCGACGCCGCGUGAGUGAAGAAGUAUUGCGGUAUGGAAAGCUCGAUCAGCAGGGAAGAAAAUGACGGUACCUGACUAAGAAGCCCCGGCUAACUACGUGCCAGCAGCCGCGGGAAUACGUAGGGGGCAAGCGUUAUCCGGAUUUACUGGGGGUAAAGGGAGCGUAGACGGCCAGACAAGUCAGAAGUGAAAGCCCAGGGCUCACCCCUGGGACUGCUUUUGAAACUGCCGGGCUGGAGUGCAGGAGAGGUAAGCGGACUUCCUCGUGUAGCGGUGAACUGCGUAGAUAUUAGGCGGACCCCCAGUGGCGAAGGCGGCUUACUGGACUGUAACUGACGUUGAGGCUCGAAAGCGUGGGGAGCAAAC
rnacentral:rRNA from 1 species